rnacentral:rRNA from 1 species
GACGAACGCUGGCGGCGUGCUUAACACAUGCAAGUCGAACGAUGAACUUGGAGCUUGCUCUGGGGGAUUAGUGGCGAACGGGUGAGUAACACGUGAGUAACCUGCGCUGGACUCUGGGAUAACCUCGAGAAAUCGGAGCUAAUACCGGAUAGGACCUUGCACCGCAUGGUGUGGGGUGGAAAGUUUUUCGGUUUGGGAUGGACUCGCGGCCUAUCAGCUUGUUGGUGAGGUAAUGGCUCACCAAGGCGUCGACGGGUAGCCGGCCUGAGAGGGUGACCGGCCACACUGGGACGGAGACACGGCCCAGACUCCUACGGGAGGCAGCAGUGGGGAAUAUUGCACAAUGGGCGCAAGCCUGAUGCAGCAACGCCGCGUGCGGGAUGACGGCCUUCGGGUUGUAAGCCGCUUUUAGUAGGGAAGAAGCCUUCGGGUGACGGUACCUGCAGAAAAAGGACCGGCUAACUACGUGCCAGCCGCCGCAGUAAUAC